rnacentral:rRNA from 1 species
GCUGGCGGCACGCCUAACACAUGCAAGUCGAACGAAGUAGCAAUACUUAGUGGCAGACGGGUGAGUAACAUGUAGGUAUCUGCCCUUUGGCCUGGAAUAACACGAGGAAACUUGUGCUAAUACUGGAUAAGUCUUUACGGAGAAAGCUUUAUGCACCAUUGGAUGAGCCUGCACUUGAUUAGUUUGUUGGUGGGGUAAUGGCCUACCAAGACUGUGAUCAAUAGCUGAUUUGAGAGGAUGAUCAGCCACAUUGGGACUGAGACACGGCCCAAACUCCUACGGGAGGCAGCAGUGGGGAAUCUUGCACAAUGGAGGAAACUCUGAUGCAGCGAUGCCGCGUGAGUGAAGAAGGCCCUUGGGUUGUAAAGCUCUUUCGUCGGGGAAGAAAAUGACUGUACCCGAAUAAGAAGGUCCGGCUAACUUCGUGCCAGCAGCCGCGGUAAUACGAAGGGACCUAGCGUAGUUCGGAAUUACUGGGCUUAAAGAGUUCGUAGGUGGUUGAAAAAGUUGGUGGUGAAAUCCCAGAGCUUAACUCUGGAACUGCCAUCAAAACUUUUCAGCUAGAGUAUGAUAGAGGAAAGCAGAAUUUCUAGUGUAGAGGUGAAAUUCGUAGAUAUUAGAAAGAAUACCAAUUGCGAAGGCAGCUUUCUGGAUCAUAACUGACACUGAGGAACGAAAGCAUGGGUAGCGAAGAGGAUUAGAUACCCUCGUAGUCCAUGCCGUAAACGAUGUGUGUUAGACGUUGGAAAUUUAUUUUCAGUGUCGCAGCGAAAGCGAUAAACACACCGCCUGGGGAGUACGAC